GACGAACGCUGGCGGCGUGCUUAACACAUGCAAGUCGAGCGGUAAGGCCCUUCGGGUACACGAGCGGCGAACGGGUGAGUAACACGUGGGUGACCUGCCUCUAGCUCUGGGAUAAGCCUGGGAAACUGGGUCUAAUACCGGAUAUGACUCCACGGCGCAUGUUGUGGGGUGGAAAGCCUUGUGCGGCUAGAGAUGGGCCCCGCGGCCUAUCAGCUUGUUGGUGGGGUGAUGGCCACCAAGGCGACGACGGGUAGCCGGCCUGAGAGGGCGACCGGCCACACUGGGACUGAGACACGGCCCAGACUCCUACGGGAGGCAGCAGUGGGGAAUCUUGCGCAAUGGGCGAAAGCCUGACGCAGCGACGCCGCGUGAGGGAUGACGGCCU
rnacentral:rRNA from 1 species